GAUGAACGCUGGAGGCGUGCCUAAUACAUGCAAGUCGAGCGAACAGAUGAGGAGCUUGCUCCUCUGACGUUAGCGGCGGACGGGUGAGUAACACGUGGAUAACCUACCUAUAAGACUGGGAUAACUUCGGGAAACCGGAGCUAAUACCGGAUAAUAUAUUGAACCGCAUGGUUCAAUAGUGAAAGACGGUUUUGCUGUCACUUAUAGAUGGAUCCGCGCCGCAUUAGCUAGUUGGUAAGGUAACGGCUUACCAAGGCAACGAUGCGUAGCCGACCUGAGAGGGUGAUCGGCCACACUGGAACUGAGACACGGUCCAGACUCCUACGGGAGGCAGCAGUAGGGAAUCUUCCGCAAUGGGCGAAAGCCUGACGGAGCAACGCCGCGUGAGUGAUGAAGGUCUUCGGAUCGUAAAACUCUGUUAUUAGGGAAGAACAAAUGUGUAAGUAACUAUGCACGUCUUGACGGUACCUAAUCAGAAAGCCACGGCUAACUACGUG
rnacentral:rRNA from 1 species